rnacentral:rRNA from 1 species
GACGUAGGGCGCGAGCGUUGUCCGGAUUUAUUGGGCGUAAAGGGCGCGUAGGCGGCCUGUUAAGUCGAACGUGAAAUCCCCGGGCUCAACCCGGGAACUGCGUCUGAUACUGGCAGGCUUGAAUCCGGGAGAGGGAUGCGGAAUUCCAGGUGUAGCGGUGAAAUGCGUAGAUAUCUGGAGGAACACCGGUGGCGAAGGCGGCAUCCUGGACCGGCAUUGACGCUGAGGCGCGAAAGCCAGGGGAGCAAACAGG